ensembl:piRNA 21ur-1482 ncRNA
UUAUGAUGUUGUUCAUUUGCA